rnacentral:misc_RNA from 1 species
UUCUUAGGAACCAUAGGUCUAGGUUGCAAGGGUAUUGAUGGAUCAGAAUAAGGCAUCGGGUGAACUCUGUUUCCAUGAACCAUGUAUGGGGGCACAAUAAGAGCAUGUUGGUCGGAAGAAAUUUCAGCAUCCUCCUCGCCAUAUGUCAAAAGUGGAAUUUUAGAGCUAAGGGGAGAAGAAUCAAGUUCUGAGUGUGCGGGAAUUCCAGACACACUAGAAUGAGAAGCAAGCCCAGUAUUAAGGCGUGCAGAGAGCAUUGCUUCUGCAACUUGUUCUGGACCUAGGCCAUCAAAGUUUCC